ensembl:lncRNA
AUGUGGUGUUCACUAUAUCAGCAUGCCAGUCAGAUUUUCUCAGAGAGCAUAUUAUUAGUCUUUGCCCUUUAUGAAGUCUUGGUUUUAGCUGUGUUGUAUACAAUACGAGCCCAAGACCUCAUCAAGGACACAUCCUCUAUGGAUCUCCCACAGGCCAGCAACUUUGGAUCUUUGGAGACUGAAAUGUCCAUUGUGAUUCCCUUGUUUGGGUCCAUUAUGAUGCCCUUGACUGGGUGUGUACACUGCAGUGGGUGCAGAUACUCACCUCUUCGUGGAGCUCAACUUCUAAUUGAAUUGGGCCAGGUGCACAGUGAAGUGGACAGUAUUGAAGCUGUUUCCGUGCUCACAGAAGAUAUUUCCAGAACCUCUGCUGAGCCAUACAAGGGAGCAUGUUUUAGCAUUUAUGGACAGUUUGAGAAUUUAUAAACUCUAAUUCCUGCAAUAUAAACACAGAGGAAAAGAGAGAAAUAGAAAUAUCUCUCCUGCUUUGAUGGCAAAAAUUGUCUGUACAACAAGGAAGUCUGAAUUCUUGUUUUCUAUUCUUUUAAUUGUCAACAGCUACCAAGUUCAUACUCUGCUAAACUACAGUGUUUCAAAAAUAUGAUGACUUAUCUGCAAGAGAUCUUGCCAAUGAAUCAGAAUAUCUUCUCAUCAGCUCUGACCUGGCUUUCCCAAACAACCUCAUACAGUCCGCCACAGGGAUGGGUGUUUUUCCAUCCCCAAUCUCAGACCCCAUCUUCUAGAUGAAAUGAUCCUUACCCAUAUUCUCUUCCUUCUGUCAUCAAGAACUAUUUUCAUCCUUCAAACCAAAGACGGAGAUAUUAAUUAGUACUAAUUACAUUGCAUACAUAUUCAAAGGACUUGCCAGUGGGACCUGGGAAAGGAAGAGGGCAGGAGAAGAAGGAGGAAAGGGAAGAGUUUGUUUGUGGAAAGCACUUCAUAAGCACCAAGGACACCUCUGACUGCUAUUUCUGAAGUACAAAAUCAAAACAAAGACUUGUACUUGGAUCCAGAAUUCUGGCUAAAACUAGAACUGCUGCCCCAAAAAUAGGCCAUUUGGAGAAAACCUUUUAGUAAGCAGUACUCUCCUUAUGCUGUUCUAAGUGGCUAUGAAAAAGAAUAACAGUAGCAAAGUUUUUGGAAGGAAUGAAGUGACACAGGGCCAUGCACAGAUGCAAAAACAGCUUGAAACUUAUGCAGAGAGGAAGGAGGGCCUGUGUUGGCAUGACGUCUCAAAGAAUGGUGAGGUGAGGUGAUCAGAGCAAUAGAAAAACAUUAUCCAGCCAUGCAAUUCCCAGUAACAAAAGUAAAUGCUAUAUAAUACAUCUUAUGUAUAAAAUGUAUAUGUACUUGUACACAUAUUACAGUAUAUAUGUAGGUAUAUAUGUAAUGCACUGUAUAUAUAGAGUGUAAUAUAGUACAUAUGUAAUAUGUACAAUGUGUAAUAAUGAAUAGUCAGUCACCAUCUUGAUAAUGAAAAAGUAUUUGUUUUUAUCACAUGGUUGUAAUAUAACUGGCAAUGGGCUAACCCAAAUAAAAUUUGUGCAACUCUCA